ensembl:lncRNA
AUAGUCGUCUCUGAUGGCCAGGGGAAUUCCUGGCAGAGUGAUUUUUGAGACUACCGCACUGAAUCACAUUGCCAGGGAUUUCCAAUGGCUGACAUGAAGAACGCAACCUCUUUCUCGGAAACACAGUCGAAUUUGAUAACUGACGCGGCCAUGUUUUUUCCUCCAUUUGCAUAUGCAAACAAAGCCGCUUAGCUCUCUGUCACGAACAGACGCUGGGAUGGCCCGGCUGUGCGGCAGCAGGACUUAACCCACAUGUGAGCAGUGAGUGUCUGCCAUGUUCACAGUGGUUAAGUUCUGCCGCCACAAGGCUGCAGCCUGCGGGGGGUAAAGGUCAGGGAGGAGCCGGACCGCAUCAAGCUGCAUCGACGCCAGAGCUUCAGACGAGAUGAAAUGUGAGGCUCGCUUUGAUUAAAAGAAAGAAAAAAAAAUCCACCUACGUGUCUUCAUGAGUCAAUGAAAACACUGCAAUCGUCCUGAAAUCAGUAGAUAAAACAAACGCAAUUUAUUUAAUGUUUUAUUUAAUUGUUUCAGGCACUUUACGAGGACAUCAUCUCGCUGCACACUCUAAAUCUACAACGGUUUAAUGGCUGCAAACAAGCUUUUUAUCUCGAUGUGGAUUUUCAAAUAAAGUGGUGGAUAAAAAAAAAACAAUGUGAAUUCCCAUUUUGUUUUUGCAGACUAAGUGGCUGAAUUUGGAUAGAAACUUGGCUGAAUAGAGCAGCUCAAAUCCAGCUCACAUGUAAAAAUGUUGUGUGUUGCGAUUUAGUCGUGAAAGCGUAAGAAUGACGCAUUGUGGUCAAGGGGGCCGUGCGGAAGCAGUUACCACUGACCAUGAGCCAAAAACAAAAAGCUGCUAAUCUGUUUCAUGGACUGAAGUUGUGCAGCUUCAGUGUUGUCCGUGUCUGCUAAAUGUCAGCCGUCUCAUUAGCGUCAAAGACCUCUCCUGUUGCUGUCGGGAGAGCGACGUCCCAGCUCAUGUUCUGAUUUCCUGCGUGUGUGUGUGUGUGUGUGUGUGUG